rnacentral:ncRNA from 2 species
UCUUCCCUUGGAGAUGGCAUUCCUCCAUAACCGCCCUUACCGGCUGAUGAUGCCUACGUUACC